rnacentral:ncRNA from 1 species
ACUGUGGAGUAUACAAGAACUUGUGAGUAGUUUAUUUAACUGUGUUAAAUUACAAAAACAUAUAUGAUGAAGCAGUAA